rnacentral:rRNA from 1 species
GACGAACCGUGCGAACGUUGUUCGGAAUCACUGGGCUUAAAGGGCGCGUAGGCGGGUUCGCAAGUCUGUGGUGAAAUCCUCCAGCUUAACUGGAGAAGUGCCGUGGAUACUGCGAGCCUCGAGGAGGGUAGGGGCACCUGGAACAGUAGGUGGAGCGGUAAAAUGCGUUGAUAUCUACUGGAACUCCGGUGGCGAAGGCGAGGUGCUGGACCCUUUCUGACGCUGAGGCGCGAAAGCCAGGGGAGCGAACGGG